UUAACGUGUCUACGGUAAAAUACAGAGACAAGAGGACGGAUAUGCAUACGCAUCCAGUCGUUGUUGUGUGGCAAGAGCACGAGCGUGCAUUUUGCCGGUUGCCGGUUUUGUUUUCCUUGGCCAGAAUAAUUGGUUGGUUGGACGCGUUAAGCUAUCGACUGACGCGUGGCGCAGCUGAAAAUAAGUGUCGUGAGUCCUUUAAACGGCUUUUCUAUGCUUACUCGGUAGCACACAAAUAUCCUGCCAGUGACUAAAGCUGUGUGUUGGCAAAAUUCGGAUUUCUUUGGCGCCGCGAUCUGAAGGUGCCGUUGGAAAGAGGAAGUCUUCCUGAUUAAAAAAUACAUAUACCAGAUCAUAGGUACCGCAAAUGUUCUUAUUCGACUUAAAGUUAAAAAAUUCCAAAAGUCCAACAUUUCACUACAUCUAACAUACUUUAUUCAAAUUUUUCACUACAAAUUCAUUAAUUAGCAAAGGAGUUUAAGCGGGAUAUUCAACUAAUAAAAUAAAUUACCAAGCUUCACAUCAUGCCGUUAAAAUUCGCAGAACUUUUUUUCUAUGCUAGUCAAAUGUUCCUUAUCUUUUUUAUAUUUCUUUCAAGUGGGAAAGCAAAUUUUUAAAACACUGCAUUCAUUGGUAAAUCGAA
rnacentral:lncRNA from 1 species